GGGAAAUUGAAUUCAAUUUGGUAUAACUGUCUGAUGUGAUAUAAUUAAUUUUCAUUAUAAAAGCUAUUGGAUUAUUUUUACUUUCAACUGCGAUUUGUUUUGGAUGGCCUGUUCAUGAACUUAAGAUCAUAUUGCAAAGACACGAGUCUUAUUAUGGUGAAUUUAAGUCUAAAAUGUCAUGUUUCCAGCAUCAUACAUAAUUUGGAGUUAAAUUUUAUAGAAUAACAAAUGGAAUGUACAUUUAAAGUUCUUUGGAAGAGAAAAAAGAAGAUAUAGAAUAUCUGGAUGAGAAAAGUCAGAGAAAGGGAAUUAAACUCAUACUUCGAUCUGCUCGAUAAGAAACGUAUUUCAAGAAAAGAAUGGAAUCACUAUACAUCAUAAACAGUCAUUGAAAAUUUCAGAGCUUCAAAUUGCUGGUGAUACAUCAUAAAAACGUACCUAAACGUCGAAAUAAACGCUUUUCUAGGUAGC